CUACGGGAUGCUGCAGUGGGGAAUAUUGGACAAUGGGCGAAAGCCUGAUCCAGCCAUGCCGCGUGUGUGAAGAAGGUCUUCGGAUUGUAAAGCACUUUAAGUUGGGAGGAAGGGCAGUAAGUUAAUACCUUGCUGUUUUGACGUUACCGACAGAAUAAGCACCGGCUAACUUCGUGCCAGCAGCCGCGGUAAUACGAAGGGUGCAAGCGUUAAUCGGAAUUACUGGGCGUAAAGCGCGCGUAGGUGGUUUGUUAAGUUGGAUGUGAAAGCCCCGGGCUCAACCUGGGAACUGCAUCCAAAACUGGCAAGCUAGAGUAUGGCAGAGGGUGGUGGAAUUUCCUGUGUAGCGGUGAAAUGCGUAGAUAUAGGAAGGAACACCAGUGGCGAAGGCGACCACCUGGGCUAAUACUGACACUGAGGUGCGAAAGCGUGGGGAGCAAACAGGAUUAGAUACCCCCGUAGUC
rnacentral:rRNA from 1 species